UGGUGAGAGUGUCUCAUUUAAAGUCUUAA
rnacentral:piRNA from 1 species